rnacentral:lncRNA from 1 species
ACCCCCAGCAGGCCAGCCUCAGAGACACACCCUUCUAGGAGACAUCCUUCCCAAGGUGGCAGAGACACCAAGUCCUGGCCCAGACCUAAGCAACCAGGUUCCACCCUGUUCCCUCUUACCCACCCUACGCCAGCGGCUAAAAGCUGCCUUGGCUAGCUCAGACCCUGAGAGCUAAGGGAUGGGAAGGGUUCCGGUGGGGACACAUGGCCAGUGGCUGUUCUUCCAUAUUCAUCUGUCUUUAAUAUUCAGAUGAAUGGAAGUACAUGACCUUGCUAGUGUUUUGGGGUAGGAAAGGCAAGAGAGUCCUCAGAAGUCAUCUAAAUCAUGCCUUUUUAUUUUUCAGAUAAGUAAAACUGUGGUUCAAAGAGGCCCUGGGACCACCUGCGAAGAUCCUGGGAUUCAUCAGGGGUCUGAACCUUGGAUCACACCUGCUCCGGCUAUUCUGAUGUCAUCUCCAUCUCCUGGAGACAGUUGCUGCAUGAGAACAAAGGCAGGGCCCAGACGAGGUCUGGAGGGAUAAGCGGCAGGGAUCUGGGCACUGAGCUGAGGCACUGGGCAGGCAGAGCCAUUGCCCUCGCCCCUACCAUGAACCCCUACAGAGAUGCUGCUAGAACCUUGCUUUCUAAGGGGUAGGAGGGUCUGGCUGCCUCUGCCUCUACUCACCCCAUAGACACACAGGCCUUCUCUCCAUCCAGGGAGAACAUAGCUGCCAAGAGCAGUCCUGCCCCCACACCAGGCUCCC